GGGGAAUUAGCUCAUUUGGCUAGAGCGCCACGCUGGCAGCGUGGAGGCGACCGGUUCGAAUCCGGUAUUCUCCA
rnacentral:tRNA from 1 species